CGUUGAUAAGCAGCAACUGUAGAGGGCUUUGAAUAGACGUUUAAUGUGAAAACUUCUAAAACGUGUGCUAAUCUAUAAAAAAAAAAAAUAAGAGAGGAAAUGGAUCAGUUUCCAUCCUGGUGUUGAGAUCACUUCGGCUCGCUUUUCUGUCAGUUUAUUACUUAUUAACAGCUGCUCUUUUUUUAUUUUAUUUUUUUUAAUUUAACUUCCACAAAUGACAUAUCUCUGUCAUAUUUAUAUAUUUUUAAUCAGAAUUUGAAAUGUACUUAAUAGUGAUCAUGGGUGAUCACCCGUUGUCUCGGGGAUUUCUUUUAAAUAAAUAAAAUAAUGCCCUGCUCCAGUGAGAGCUACUGGAAACCCAUAAAACACAAAAAGGAGCAGUGGGUGCAUUGUUUAUGAUUUAAGGGCCCUUGUUUCCUACACAUUCAACUAAACCCCGCAUUAAAUGGAACCUAAUCCAUACACCGAGAAAAUGAAUAAGAAUUAUAAAGUUGAUUAUAUUUUUUCACUCUCAUUUUUCGUAUUUUGAAAUGUCACAAGCACUGAAACCUAAAAAAUUCUCAAACUAUCAAAAGCAAUAAAGGGAAACUCAAGCUAUUGACUUAUGGUUUCCAAAUUACCUAAAGCUGUAGAUGCCUCAGACGGAAGAGGGGGACGUCUUAAACCUCUCCCUCUCUCUCCUUCACUCACUCACUCUCUCUCUCUCUCUAAAACAAAGACGCUUUGUCAUUAACAGGGUUAUUUUACCAAAAGGAGUCAAGAGGGCAACAUAUGUGGUCUUAACGGGUCAUAGGUCAAACAUCCAUGAAACACAAGGUCACGGAAGCCACACAAGUAACCUUCCAGUGUGUCAACAUAUUGAUAUUGUCAGAUAACAGAGAGGAGAAAUAUGCCUCUGGCCCCCAUUAUAAUACACAGGCAAAGCGCCUUUAUGUGAUGAAGACUUUAUCGAUAACCUUUGCCACGCACUUCCAGCGUAUAGACUGCAACUGUCACUUUUUAUCAGCUCCAACUUCAGAUCAUUCUGAGUAAUAUUUCACUUGAUUUAUAUUUUACAUCUGUAUCCCGUGUCUCAAUGUGUAUUGCUGCUCCUAAAACCUGUUGAAAUACUGGUCUUUGGGGGAUUUUCAAUAGCCUAGACCCCCUUUCUUCUCCAAACAGAAGGGAAAACCCGCAGCCAUGUGCCUCUACCCGAUUGAUUUUUUUUUCUCCCCUUCCUCUUUUUUAAUUUUCUUUCUCUUUUUUCCCUAUCUGGGGAAGGUUUUGUGGUUUUCCAGAGAAAUAAAGAACUUCUUAUAGGGGUCGGCAGACGUGACUUUGAACUUGGAUCAGCUCCUGCGUUUCCUGUGGUGCGGGUCGAAAUAGACUUGGAAGAAUGGCACACAACGCUCAGCCUGUCCCACUCUGAGCUAAGAGACACACAAUUUCAAAAAGAAGGAGGAAAAAAAAAAGUUUUUAAACGUUUCCCUCGCCUUCAACAUUAUUUGUCGUUUACAGAGCACCAGGAGAACUUAGAGAAGCACAGAAUUGUGUUGUGUGUUGGAACGGGAGAGCUUGUGGGAUUUUGAUGUGGUGAAAAUGUUUAUCUAAUGAGACAGAAAUGAAAGAGGACAGGGAUCAAACCAGUUGCAGUCCCCACGACGCAGACUCUUAUUCAGAUUCCUGCUAAUCCGCUUGCCUGCACCCCAUUGGUGGAUUGGGGCAGCACUGGGGGCCAGAGAGAGGAGGUGCCUGAAUUCAAUCAAACAUCGCUGUCAGACAGCCAGAGGAGGGUGCCGCCUCUCUUCUUAUCCUCUCUUCUCUCACUUUUUGCCGUUUGGGAUACGCACCGUUUUGCACCCGGGGAAUCAUUUGGGAACCCCAGCUGCUGCUGAGGCUGGGGAGGCUUCAGCCCAGUGCCUCCCAGCUCCCAUUGCCUGGGAGUCCCCUGGGAAGCAGCUGACUGGCACCCAGACUGCCAUUCAGAUGAUGGAUCCUACCAGGAGAAUCAGACAUGACAGGGGGAGGUGAGGCUGCAGGAGUGGCCACCACUGAACCUGAGGACGAGGGGCAGAUGCGGUCAGCUGUCUCCGCUCUCUGUGUGGGUGCUUGUGUGUGAGCAUUUGCACGCAGAUAUGUUAUAUGUUAGCAUAUGUGUAAGUGCACACAUUUGAAUGCCCAUGUCUGUGGGUGGUUGUUUUGGCACACAUAGUAAAAUCUUUUUUUUUUUCACAUUCUCCAUCUGGACCUGAAGUAUUUCGUUAGCUGUAGAAUGUUACAUUUUUAUUUUGAAAGCUGACAAAAUAUCAGCAGUGUUUGACUUUUAAUGUUUGUCGUGUCUGCUAUUGGACUUUCCCAAAACUGUGACAGAUGCCAAAUGACACAUGUUGGGGUUGUACGAGUACAUACCAAACCAAGUUGAAAAGAGACAAGUUGAUUUGAACAGAAGUGGAAGAAAUUACAUUUUCACAUACGAUUUUCACAUAAGAUUCACAUAGCGUCCUUUCACAGAACUGUUAACCAGGGAACAGCAGGUGAGUCCAUUGCACUGUAUCUCUAAUUUGUAAGUUUAAAUUAUUAAAGAAAAGAAAAAAAAAAGAAAAGAAAAAUAAAUAAAACUUGUUUAAAACAUUUUUACUGAGCUCAGCAUAUUGUUUUGUCAUUUCUGGCACGACCAGCUUGAUCUUGUGAUACCAGCUGGAUGAAAGCUUCAUUCUUGCCCUGCGGCGUCCUGCUGUGCCAUUGCCUCAACCAGACACUGUGAUGAAAUUGCUCCAGUGACAGCUACUGAUGGGAGAAGUCAGUGGAUAUUGUAAGCCCUGGGUAGAUAAAACCAAGGCCACAUAGCUGGGUAAAAAAUGAAAAUAUGUGUGUUUUGCAUGUGCAGUUGAAGUGAACUGACCUUCUGAAUAUUUUUUUCAAGAGACAGUUUUUAGCGAUAUUUUUAUAAAAUGAAAAAAAAGGAAGAUAACUACAUACAUAAUGAUAUUAUGUUAAGUAAGUAUUUAUAUCACUAAAUCAAACUGUUCACUUAAUCAGUGUGUUUUCUUCACCGUCAUCUCUCUGAGAGAUUAUGUAUGCACUCAGGUGCUCUUGUUGGCUCAUGUAGACUUGCUGACUAUGCCUGCACACACAUACACACACACACACAAGAAAACAAGCAGACGAGAGGGGAGAUAAAGAUGAGCAGAGGGUUUCUCACUGUACUGUACAUCAAAUAUUAAAUUGUUUACCAUGGCAAAUAGA